AGAGUUUGAUCAUGGCUCAGAUUGAACGCUGGCGGCAGGCCUAACACAUGCAAGUCGAGCGGUAGCACAGAGAGCUUGCUCUCGGGUGACGAGCGGCGGACGGGUGAGUAAUGUCUGGGAAACUGCCUGAUGGAGGGGGAUAACUACUGGAAACGGUAGCUAAUACCGCAUAACGUCGCAAGACCAAAGUGGGGGACCUUCGGGCCUCAUGCCAUCAGAUGUGCCCAGAUGGGAUUAGCUAGUAGGUGGGGUAACGGCUCACCUAGGCGACGAUCCCUAGCUGGUCUGAGAGGAUGACCAGCCACACUGGAACUGAGACACGGUCCAGACUCCUACGGGAGGCAGCAGUGGGGAAUAUUGCACAAUGGGCGCAAGCCUGAUGCAGCCAUGCCGCGUGUGUGAAGAAGGCCUUCGGGUUGUAAAGCACUUUCAGCGGGGAGGAAGGCGGUGAGGUUAAUAACCUCACCGAUUGACGUUACCCGCAGAAGAAGCACCGGCUAACUCCGUGCCAGCAGCCGCGGUAAUACGGAGGGUGCAAGCGUUAAUCGGAAUUACUGGGCGUAAAGCGCACGCAGGCGGUCUGUCAAGUCGGAUGUGAAAUCCCCGGGCUCAACCUGGGAACUGCAUUCGAAACUGGCAGGCUAGAGUCUUGUAGAGGGGGGUAGAAUUCCAGGUGUAGCGGUGAAAUGCGUAGAGAUCUGGAGGAAUACCGGUGGCGAAGGCGGCCCCCUGGACAAAGACUGACGCUCAGGUGCGAAAGCGUGGGGAGCAAACAGGAUUAGAUACCCUGGUAGUCCACGCUGUAAACGAUGUCGAUUUGGAGGUUGUGCCCUUGAGGCGUGGCUUCCGGAGCUAACGCGUUAAAUCGACCGCCUGGGGAGUACGGCCGCAAGGUUAAAACUCAAAUGAAUUGACGGGGGCCCGCACAAGCGGUGGAGCAUGUGGUUUAAUUCGAUGCAACGCGAAGAACCUUACCUGGUCUUGACAUCCACAGAACUUAGCAGAGAUGCUUUGGUGCCUUCGGGAACUGUGAGACAGGUGCUGCAUGGCUGUCGUCAGCUCGUGUUGUGAAAUGUUGGGUUAAGUCCCGCAACGAGCGCAACCCUUAUCCUUUGUUGCCAGCGGUUAGGCCGGGAACUCAAAGGAGACUGCCAGUGAUAAACUGGAGGAAGGUGGGGAUGACGUCAAGUCAUCAUGGCCCUUACGACCAGGGCUACACACGUGCUACAAUGGCAUAUACAAAGAGAAGCGACCUCGCGAGAGCAAGCGGACCUCAUAAAGUAUGUCGUAGUCCGGAUUGGAGUCUGCAACUCGACUCCAUGAAGUCGGAAUCGCUAGUAAUCGUAGAUCAGAAUGCUACGGUGAAUACGUUCCCGGGCCUUGUACACACCGCCCGUCACACCAUGGGAGUGGGUUGCAAAAGAAGUAGGUAGCUUAACCUUCGGGAGGGCGCUUACCACUUUGUGAUUCAUGACUGGGGUGAAGUCGUAACAAGGUAACCGUAGGGGAACCUGCGGUUG
rnacentral:rRNA from 1 species